AACGAACGCUGGCGGCGCGCUUAACACAUGCAAGUCGAACGAGAAGGCGUAGCAAUACGCUUGUACAGUGGCGAACGGGUGAGUAAUACGUGGGCGACCUACCCUCGAGUGGGGAAUAACCCGCCGAAAGGCGGGCUAAUGCCGCGUACGCUUCCAUCUUUAUGGAGGUGGAAGGAAAGCCGUGCCGUGGGCACGGCGCUCAAGGAUGGGCUCACGUCCUAUCAGCUUGUUGGAGGGUAGCGGCCUACCAAGGCUCCGACGGGUAGCUGGUCUGAGAGGACGAUCAGCCACACUGACACUGCGACACGGGCCAGACUCCUACGGGAGGCAGCAGUGAGGAAUAUUGCGCAAUGGGCGAAAGCCUGACGCAGCGACGCCGCGUGGGGGA
rnacentral:rRNA from 1 species